CUUCACCCUGGGGGCGACCUUAGAUUAUGUUUGUCAUGUCGGGGAGAUUUCUAGGGCAGUGAGGUUUGUUUCAUAUGCGGCCAGAAGGACCAAGAUUGCAAUUAAACAACAGAAGAUUGCAGAUGCAGCUCAAAGGCUAUGCACUUGAUGGUUGAGCUGUCUUGGUGAAGCCAGGGAUGGAAGAGGAGGCCAUACAUCUCACAGCUCAUUUCCAUAUAGUCCGUCACCUCAGCAGACUCAGUUAUUACUUUGGGGCCCACGGGAGAUCCAGCCUGCAGACCUGGGCUCCCGAGGUUGCUGUUAUGAUGCCCUACUCCGCUGGCCCUGGUCCACGCAGUUGAAAGCUUUGGCCGGCUGUCCGCUGCUGUAACCCAGUUAGUGUGUGGAGCGUGUGUUGCUGCAGUUUGAAACAGAACACGAUAGGGAUUUGGAUCCAACCAAAAGAUGACCUUGCAGCAGUACCGGACCAGUUCUGACCAACAUUUCUGCAUUCAGUUUGCCUAAGCUUAAUGUGAAAUCCUGCCCACUCCUGGAUUUAUCUCAGUCUCCCUAUUCACUUUGCCCUGUGGAUGAAGGAUGAAGUAGAGUACCGCAGUGGGUUAGUUAAAUCACUCAACGUGUGACAUAAAAAUACAAAUUUCAACCCGUGGGUCUGCUCGCGGUUCAGAACUAUUAUAUGUCAGAAACGUUUUAUAUAGAGACAACUUUAUUUCUGUGAGAAGUGAGAUAGAAAAUCCCCUACGACGCUGUGAGGAAAUGGAGCAAGAUCUAUCCGUGGAACUGCCCACUCCCCUCGUAUUGCGGAUGAGAGAGAAUAUUAGCGCACCCAAGGGAGGUUGAUGUUGCUUGGGGGAAUACAACAACACAACAACAUAACAAGAUAACAAGAUAAAGCAUUAAGACAAACAUCAAAGCGCCAGGCCAUUGAAUGCUUAACAGUAGAACUGCUGUGCUUAAGACUGGGUGAGUUUAAAAAAGCAGCUCACUCCCUGGAAGGCUGAGGGGCUGGAAGUGAUACCUGUCACCACUCCGCUGAAUGUUACAUACACUGAUACUUAGCCAGUGUCUACACAACAUGGUAUCACUUAGUGACAUGACUACAGUCAACUCCAUGACUGAAGUGACUGGAGCUCUGAUGUAUCAUAAAAUUAUGUUUUUUUGGCAUUGUCCUGUAUAUGACAUUGUUCUGUAUAUGAAAUUGUUCUGUAUAUGACAUUGUUCUGUAUUAAUUCAGGCUAUUAUUUUUGUGCUGGAUUCUAUCAUUUUUUAUCAUGUUUUUUAUUUAUUUUUAACGUAGAUUCAUUGUCAGCCCACAGUGCUAUGUAUACACCCACCACACACACACAGACACAGACGGAGCUUUGGCACAUUCCAGUAAAACCAGCACAGCAAAACACAGUAAUGAGUCCCAGAGCUAUACAAAUCCAGGAUAGAAAAAUGAAUCCUUGUUAAGCCCUGCCCAUAGCCCUUAUCCUGUACUUUGACUCUCAGCACAGCCCUGCAUAUCUCAGGCAUGCUUUACACUAAACCUCUAAGAGAGCACAACUCCUUCCAGAACCUCUGCCUAUCAUGAUGUGGCAGUCUGCAUGAGCAAUGGAUCUGCACUAAAGACAUAUUGACCCAUAACCUUUGGGAAGCUGGGGUUGAGGUGCAACACACAGAAACAUGCAAAAUGCUUUUAUGUACAUACAUACACCCUUAUUGAUCUAUGGCAUUAGUCGCCUCCGAUCUCACCAUCCUGGAGCUGAGAUCAGUGAUGUGACUCUUCACUGAUGCUCUGUGUCUAGACCCACAGCCUAUUAUACAAGGUGCUGUGAUAAGGCAGCUUCAAAAGAGAGGUGAAAUGUUAACGCAAUGUUGUAUCUGCUGUAUUACUGCUUUGAAUAACCUACAGCUUAGAGUGUUUUUGUCCCGUAUACAGCACCUGUUUCAGAUAUUUGAAAAGGAAGUUUGAAAUCUGGGAACUUGGGUUUAGACCUAACAAAGGUUUAUUUAGACCUAUAGCCUGGUUUUAGAUUUGAACAAGCUUUUCUGUGGCUGGUAAUUCAGUUCUCCACAUCAACCUUAAUUUUCAUUGCCGUUUCCAGAGGAUCAAGGUCAACUCAAGGUCGACUAAGCUCACAGUGUGCCAGUGUAUUUUUGCAUGCAGGCACGCGUGUGUGCGUUCGUGUGUUACCCUUCCCUUGACAGAAUCUGUUGGUGUGUGCGUUCGUGUGUUACCCUUCCCUUGACAGAAUCUGUUGGUGUGUGACUGUGGGUGCUGUAUAGAGGAAGAAAGCAGGCUGAUUGCACAAAGGGUGUGUGUGUGUGUGUGUGUGUGUGUGUGUCAUUUGGUAAUAGAGAGUGUCAGUUGAUGACAGCGACAGGCUGGCAUUUGUUGGUUUGCUUGCGGUUGGUAAUGAACCGCUAGCUGAUAUAAUCAUGCAAAUCAACAGCUCAUCCCAGAAAGAAAAUUACAGGCAAGACUGGACACAGAGCAGGUCUUACCCUCACUGAUAGACUCAUCUAUAGAGCAAGUCCAAACACAAAUCAAAUGCAUCGUUUACAUGUAUUAUACAGAAUUUAAACAAUAAAACACUGCCUUCCAGAGAAACCAACAGUAACUGCAUUCAUGUAAAGAUAUCAAGAGAAAGCAAGCAUUUUUGAUUACUUUUAGGUCAAAGGCUUGGUCUGGGCCACUCAAGGACAUUUUACUUUUUAUUCCUCAGCCACUCCACAGUAACUUUUACUGCGUGCUUUGGGUCAUUUUAAUGUUGAAAGGUGAAAGGUUCCAUCCCAGUAUAGGCUUUCUUGUGAAGGGCA